UACAGAGGUCCCAAGCGUUGUUCGGAUUCACUGGGCGUAAAGGGUGCGUAGGUGGUGAGGUAAGUCGGAUGUGAAAUCUCCGAGCUCAACUCGGAAAUGGCAUUGGAAACUACCUUGCUCGAGGGUUGGAGGGGGGACUGGAAUGCUUGGUGUAGCAGUGAAAUGCGUAGAUAUCAAGCGGAACACCAGUGGCGAAGGCGAGUCCCUGGACAACUCCUGACACUGAGGCACGAAAGCUAGGGGAGCGAAUGGG
rnacentral:rRNA from 1 species